rnacentral:rRNA from 1 species
AUUGAACACUGGCGGCAGGCCUAACACAUGCAAGUCGGACGGUAGCACAGAGGAGCUUGCUCCUCGGGUGACGAGUGGCGGACGGGUGAGUAAUGUCUGGGGAUCUGCCCGAUAGAGGGGGAUAACCACUGGAAACGGUGGCUAAUACCGCAUAACGUCGCAAGACCAAAGCGGGGGACCUUCGGGCCUCUCACUAUCGGAUGAACCCAGAUGGGAUUAGCUAGUAGGCGGGGUAACGGCCCACCUAGGCGACGAUCCCUAGCUGGUCUGAGAGGAUGACCAGCCACACUGGAACUGAGACACGGUCCAGACUCCUACGGGAGGCAGCAGUGGGGAAUAUUGCACAAUGGGCGCAAGCCUGAUGCAGCCAUGCCGCGUGUAUGAAGAAGGCCUUCGGGUUGUAAAGUACUUUCAGCGGGGAGGAAGGCGAUGUGGUUAAUAACCGCGUCGAUUGACGUUACCCGCAGAAGAAGCACCGGCUAACUCCGUGCCAGCAGCCGCCGUAA